rnacentral:rRNA from 1 species
UGGGGAAUCUUGGACAAUGGGGGCAACCCUGAUCCAGCCAUGCCGCGUGAGUGAUGAAGGCCUUAGGGUCGUAAAGCUCUUUCGCCUGUGAAGAUAAUGACGGUAGCAGGUAAAGAAACCCCGGCUAACUCCGUGCCAGCAGCCGCGGUAAUACGGAGGGGGUUAGCGUUGUUCGGAAUUACUGGGCGUAAAGCGCACGUAGGCGGACCAGAAAGUUGGGGGUGAAAUCCCGGGGGCUCAACCCCGGAACUGCCUCCAAAACUAUUGGUCUAGAGUUCGAGAGAGGUGAGUGGAAUUCCAAGUGUAGAGGUGAAAUUCGUAGAUAUUUGGAGGAACACCAGUGGCGAAGGCGGCUCACUGGCUCGAUACUGACGCUGAGGUGCGAAAGUGUGGGGAGCAAACAGGAUUAGAUACCCUGGUAGUCCACGCCGUAAAACGAUGAGUGCUAGAUGUUGGGAUUUUCGGAUUUCAGUGUCGCAGCUAACGCAUUAAGCACUCCGCCUGGGGGAGUACGGCCGCAAGGUUAAAACUC